rnacentral:rRNA from 1 species
UACGAAGGGGGCUAGCGUUGUUCGGAAUUACUGGGCGUAAAGGGCGCGUAGGCGGUACUUCAAGUCAGGCGUGAAAGCCCCGGGCUUAACCUGGGAACUGCGUUUGAUACGGAUGGGCUAGAGUUCGGGAGAGGAGAGUGGAAUUCCCAGUGUAGAGGUGAAAUGCGCAGAUAUCAGGAGGAACACCAGUGGCGAAGGCGGCUUCCUGGACACCAACUGACGCUGAGACGCGAAAGCGUGGGGAGCAAACAGG